rnacentral:rRNA from 1 species
AUGAACGCUGGCGGCGUGCCUAAUACAUGCAAGUCGAGCGAACGGACGAGAAGCUUGCUUCUCUGAUGUUAGCGGCGGCCGGGUGAGUAACCCGUGGAUAACCUACCUAUAAGACUGGGAUAACUUCGGGAAACCGGAGCUAAUACCGGAUGAUAUUUUGAACCGCAUGGUUCAAAAGUGAAAGACGGUCUUGCUGUCACUUAUAGAUGGAUCCGCGCUGCAUUAGCUAGUUGGUAAGGUAACGGCUUACCAAGGCAACGAUGCAUAGCCGACCUGAGAGGGUGAUCGGCCACACUGGAACUGAGACACGGUCCAGACUCCUACGGGAGGCAGCAGUAGGGAAUCUUCCGCAAUGGGCGAAAGCCUGACGGAGCAACGCCGCGUGAGUGAUGAAGGUCUUCGGAUCGUAAAACUCUGUUAUUAGGGAAGAACAUAUGUGUAAGUAACUGUGCACAUCUUGACGGUACCUAAUCAGAAAGCCACGGCUAACUACGUG